rnacentral:rRNA from 1 species
GACGAACGCUGGCGGCGUGCUUAACACAUGCAAGUCGAGCGAGAAACCUUCGGGUUUCUAGCGGCGGACGGGUGAGUAACACGAGGGUAACCUGCCUCAAAGAGGGGGAUAGCCUUCCGAAAGGAAGAUCAAUACCGCAUAAUAUUACAGUUUCGCAUGAAGCAGUAAUUAAAGGAGUAAUCGGCUUGGUGAUGGACCCGCGGCUCCUUAGCUAGUUGGAGAGGUAACGGCUCACCAAGGCAACGAUGCGUAGCCGACCUGAGAGGGUGAUCGGCCACACUGGAACUGAGACACGGUCCAGACUCCUACGGGAGGCAGCAGUGGGGAAUAUUGGACAAUGGGCGAAAGCCUGAUGCAGCAGCGCCGCGUGAGUGAUGAAGGUCUUCGGAUUGUAAAGCUCUGUCGGUUGGGACGAUAAUGACGGUACCAAAGGAGGAAGCCACGGCUAACUACGUGCCAGCCGCCGCGGUAA